UACGUAGGGGGCAAGCGUUGUCCGGAAUCAUUGGGCGUAAAGCGCGUGUAGGCGGCUCGGUAAGUCCGCUCUGAAAGUCCAGGGCUCAACCCUGGGAUGCGGGUGGAUACUGCCGGGCUCGAGUCCGGAAGAGGCGAGUGGAAUUCCCGGUGUAGCUGUGAAAUGCGCAGAUAUCGGGAGGAACACCAAUGGCGAAGGCAGCUCGCUGGGACGUGACUGACGCUGAGACGCGAAAGCGUGGGGAGCAAACAGG
rnacentral:rRNA from 1 species